rnacentral:misc_RNA from 1 species
GAUGAAGAACGUAGCGAAAUGCGAUACGUAAUGUGAAUUGCAGAAUUCAGUGAAUCAUCGAAUCUUUGAACGCAUAUUGCGCUCUCUGGUAUUCCGGAGAGCAUGCUUGUUUGAGUAUCAGUAAACACCUCAACUUCCAUAUCUUUUUUGAAAUGGGAGUUGGACUUGAGUGAUCCCAACGCUUUUCCUCACCGAAAAGUGGCGGGUUACUUGAAAUGCAGGUGCAGCUGGACUUUUCUCUGAGCUAUAAGCAUAUCUAUUUAGUCUGCCUAAAAAACAGAUUAUUACCUUUGCUGCAGCUAACAUAAAGGAGAUUAGUUCUUGUGCUGACUGAUGCAGGAUUCACAAAGGCGGCUUCGGCCGACUUUGUAAACUCGAUCUCAAAUCAAGUAAGACUACCCGCUGAACUUAAGCAUAUCAAUAAGCGGAGGA